AUGGCGCUCAUGCUCAGCCCGGCCGCGACCUUCCUCCCCGUCGCCACCGGCAAGCCCACCGCCACCGCCGGCGCCAUGCGAAGCCUCCUCUUCACCACCACCAGCGGCACCGCCAGCGGCCACCGGAGCAGCAGGAAGGUGGUGGCGAUGGCGGACAUCCUGGGGGACUUCGGCGCGCGGGACCCGUUCCCGGAGGAGAUCGCGAGCAACUUCGGGGAGAAGACGCUGGGCAACGUGGACACGCUGCACCGCAUCCUCAUCCCCACGCUCUCCGUGCUCUCCCUCUCCCGCGUCCCGCUCGAAGCCCACCCGGCGCCGCUCUCCGAGGAGGACGCCCGCAGGCUGCUCUUCAAGGUCGUCGGAUGGCGCCUCCUCUUCCCCGGCAAGGGCGACUCCGACGUGCUCAAGCUCGAGUGCGUCUGGAAGGUCCGCGACCAGGCCUGCGGCGACGAGCUCAUCGCCAGGAUCGGCAAGGCGCUCGACGGCGCCGGCCAUGCCCCCGCCGCGCUCCUCUUCGAGCCGCCCAACCAAGUCAGGGCACAGCUCUGCACGCCCUCCGUAGGUGGGCUGAGCGCCAACGACUUCAUCAUCGCGGCGAGGAUCGACCAGAUCAAGACCAAAGAUCUCCUCCCAAAGAAGAGGGUCUGGGCAUGCUAA
rnacentral:rRNA from 1 species